rnacentral:rRNA from 1 species
AGAGUUUGAUCCUGGCUCAGAAUGAACGCUGGCGGCAUGGAUUAGGCAUGCAAGUCGAGCGCGAAAUCCGCCUUCGGGCGGAGAUUAGAGCGGCGAACGGGUGAGUAACACGUGAGUAACCUGCCUUCGGCGCCGGAAUAGCCCCGGGAAACCGGGAUUAAUGCCGGAUACGGCGGUGAGGCCGCAUGGUCUUUCUGUCAAAGGUUGACGCCGGCCGGAGAUGGACUCGUGUCCCAUUAGCUUGUCGGUGAGGUAACGGCUCACCGAGGCCGAGACGGGUAGCUGGUCUGAGAGGACGGUCAGCCACACUGGGACUGAGACACUGCCCAGACUCCUACGGGAGGCUGCAGUCGAGAAUCAUCCGCAAUGGGCGCAAGCCUGACGGUGCGAUGCCGCGUGAGGGAUGAAGGCCUUCGGGUCGUAAACCUCUGUCAGGGGGGACGAAGAACUGACGGUACCCCCAGAGGAAGCCACGGCUAACUACGUGCCAGCAGCCGCGGUAAUACGUAGGUGGCGAGCGUUAUUCGGAAUUACUGGGCGUAAAGGGUCCGCAGGGGGUCUGCCAAGUUCUGCGUGAAAGCCCGCGGCUCAACCGCGGGUUGGCGCGGAAAACUGGUGGACUUGAGUGCACGAGGGGAGAGCGGAAUUCCCGGAGUAGCGGUGGAAUGCGCAGAUAUCGGGAAGAACACCAGCGGCGAAAGCGGCUCUCUGGCGUGCAACUGACCCUCAGGGACGAAAGCGUGGGUAGCAAACAGGAUUAGAUACCCUGGUAGUCCACGCUGUAAACGUUGUGCACUAGAUGCCGGCGGCACUCCGGUGCUGUCGGUGUCCAAGUUAACGCGAUAAGUGCACCGCCUGGGGACUACGGCCGCAAGGCUAAAACUCAAAGGAAUUGACGGGGGCCCGCACAACCGGUGGAGCAUGUGGCUUAAUUCGAGGCUACGCGAAGAACCUUACCCGGGUUUGACAUAUAUCCGCCCGCCUGUGAAAUCAGGUUCUCUCUUCGGAGACGGAUAUACAGGUGCUGCAUGGCUGUCGUCAGCUCGUGCCGUGAGGUGUUCGGUUAAGUCCGGCAACGAGCGCAACCCGUACCGUCAGUUGCCAUCAGGUAAUGCUGGGGACUCUGGCGGGACUGCCCGUGUCAAGCGGGAGGAAGGUGCGGAUGACGUCAAGUCAGUAUGGCCCUUACACCCGGGGCUGCACACGUGCUACAAUGGGCGGCACAGAGGGAUGCAAUGCCGCGAGGCGGAGCGAAUCCUCAAAACCGCCCCCAGUUCGGAUCGGAGUCUGCAAUUCGACUCCGUGAAGGCGGAAUCGGUAGUAAAGGCGUAUCAGACACGGCGCCUUGAAUACGUUCCCGGGCCUUGUACACACCGCCCGUCACAUCAUGGAAGCCGGAUGCACCCGAAGUCCAGCUACUCAGCUGCACAGAGCGUACCCAACAGGUACAGUAAGAUAAUCUGUGUGACUGAAUAGCUGGAUGAAGGUGUGUCCGGUGACUGGGAUGAAGUCGUAACAAGGUAACC